rnacentral:tRNA from 1 species
GGUCGGUUAGCUCAGUUGGUUAGAGUACCACGUUGACAUCGUGGGGGUCACUGGUUCGAAUCCAGUAUCGACCACAA